ACUGGGUGUGGUGGUAUGUGCCUGUAAUUCCAGCUGCUUGGGAGGCUGAGGCAGGAGAAUUUCUUGAGUCUAGGAGUGCUGAGCUGUAGUGAGCUAUGUGGCUGAGCUGUCUGCACUAUUUAGCAUUAACACAGUGAUUUCUCAGCAGUGGGGAACCAGUAGGCUGCCUAAGGAGGGAUGAACUGUUUGAGGAUGAAAACGGAGCAAAUCAAAACUCCUGUGCUGAUCGGUAGUGAGAUCAUGCAUGUGAAUACCACUACUGCACUCCAGCCUGGGCAACAGAGAGAGACUCCAUCUCCU
ensembl:misc_RNA Metazoa_SRP Metazoan signal recognition particle RNA